GGUAGCGUGGCCGAGUGGUCUAAGGCGCUGGAUUUAAGUAUCUUUACUUGACUCCCAGUGGGGAAAACCCGCGCGAGUUCGAACCUCGCCGCUACCA
rnacentral:tRNA from 1 species